AGAGUUUGAUCCUGGCUCAGGAUGAACGCUAGCUACAGGCUUAACACAUGCAAGUCGAGGGGCAGCGGGAUUGAAGCUUGCUUCAAUUGCCGGCGACCGGCGCACGGGUGAGUAACGCGUAUCCAACCUUCCGCUUACUCGGGGAUAGCCUUUCGAAAGAAAGAUUAAUACCCGAUGGUAUCUUAAGCACGCAUGAGAUUAAGAUUAAAGAUUUAUCGGUAAGCGAUGGGGAUGCGUUCCAUUAGGCAGUUGGCGGGGUAACGGCCCACCAAACCUACGAUGGAUAGGGGUUCUGAGAGGAAGGUCCCCCACAUUGGAACUGAGACACGGUCCAAACUCCUACGGGAGGCAGCAGUGAGGAAUAUUGGUCAAUGGGCGAGAGCCUGAACCAGCCAAGUAGCGUGAAGGAUGACGGCCCUACGGGUUGUAAACUUCUUUUGUGCGGGAAUAAAGGAACCUACGUGUAGGUUUUUGCAUGUACCGUAACGAAUAAGCAUCGGCUAACUCCGUGCCAGCAGCCGCGGU
rnacentral:rRNA from 1 species